UGGGGAAUCUUCCGCAAUGGACGAAAGUCUGACGGAGCAACGCCGCGUGAGUGAAGAAGGUUUUCGGAUCGUAAAGCUCUGUCUUUUGGGACGAAUGUGCUUCUUGUGAAUAAUGAGAGGUAAUGACGGUACCGAAGAAGGAAGCCACGGCUAACUACGUGCCAGCAGCCGCGGUAAUACGUAGGUGGCAAGCGUUGUCCGGAAUUAUUGGGCGUAAAGCGCGCGCAGGCGGAAUAAUAAGUCUGUCGUGAAAGUGCGGGGCUCAACCCCGUGAUUGCAAUGGAAACUGUUAUUCUUGAGUGCAGGAGAGGAAAGUGGAAUUCCUAGUGUAGCGGUGAAAUGCGUAGAUAUUAGGAGGAACACCAGUGGCGAAGGCGACUUUCUGGACUGUGUCUGACGCUGAGGCGCGAAAGCCAGGGUAGUGAACGGG
rnacentral:rRNA from 1 species